rnacentral:lncRNA from 1 species
GGGAGCCUCAGGGAAAGUCUCGAAGGCUUGGAAAUACACACUGAGGAAUGGAAGAAGAAACUGGCCAUAGGCAUGUAGCAGAACACCUGAGAGGCCAUUACCCCACACGUCUUCCCAGCCUGACUUCCAUGGUUUAUUAAUCUUCCAGUGCUUUGGACUCUCAGCGUCUCUGUGGAAUUUCAUAGACAAGCAGGCAAGGACAGAGAUGAAGUUAUAAGAAGAGCCAGAGCUGUGUGGUGGCUUCUCAGCAGGCCUGGUCUCAACCAACCGGAAGACUCUCUACAAUGAUGCUGGGAGAAGCGAAGGCCCCUGCACUCCAAAGGGACCACAUACCAAGGGAACAGUAGUGAAGGACAAAGAGAGAGACAUCGAAGGAGGGAGAGUCGACAUAGGAUGUAUGACCAC